rnacentral:misc_RNA from 1 species
GGCACGUGUCAUGUAAAAGGGGUUCGAGUCAAUGCUGAUGGCAAUAUCUGAUCCUAAUUUGGAAGCCAUGCCACACUGGGAUGCUUGCUUAGCGGCCCUUAAAGAAAUAUCAAGUUUAGUUUCUGCUGCAGAUCUUUCUUGAUUUCCAGCAACGGGUUUUUGGUGGUAGUGAUAUGCAGGAGGAAGAAUGGCACCUCGGAUCAACGUUCUUGGAUCGUAUGGUUCCUUCACCAGCCUCCCAUUCUCAUCUGCUAUAAC